UACGAAGGGGGCUAGCGUUGCUCGGAAUCACUGGGCGUAAAGGGUGCGUAGGCGGGUCUUUAAGUCAGGGGUGAAAUCCUGGAGCUCAACUCCAGAACUGCCUUUGAUACUGAAGAUCUUGAGUUCGGGAGAGGUGAGUGGAACUGCGAGUGUAGAGGUGAAAUUCGUAGAUAUUCGCAAGAACACCAGUGGCGAAGGCGGCUCACUGGCCCGCAACUGACCGCUCAUGGUCGAAAGCGUGGGGAGCAAACAGG
rnacentral:rRNA from 1 species